rnacentral:ribozyme from 1 species
AGAAAUGGAUUCGGAGGUCUCUUCUCGUACGACAUCUGAAUCCGAUUCCAAUUCGUUCCAUGAGUCGUCGACGGAUUCUACCCACGAAAACGUGG